rnacentral:rRNA from 1 species
CCUACGGGGGGCAGCAGUGAGGAAUAUUGCGCAAUGCCCGCAAGGGUGACGCAGCGACGCCGCGUGAAGGAUGAAGGCCCUAUGGGUCGUAAACUUCUUUUGCGAGGGAAGAAUAUCUUGCUACAGGCAGGAUUGACUGUACCUCGAGAAAAGCAUCGGCUAACUACGUGCCAGCAGCCGCGGUAAUACGUAGGAUGCGAGCGUUGUCCGGAAUCACUGGGUGUAAAGGGAGCGCAGGCGGGUUGGUAAGUCAGUGGUAAAAUUCUCAGGCUUAACCUGGGGACUGCCACUGAUACUGCUGAUCUUGAGUGCAGAAGAGGUGGAUGGAAUUCUUGGUGUAGCGGUAAAAUGCGUAGAUAUCAAGAAGAACACCGAGGGCGAAGGCAGUCCACGGGUCUGUUACUGACGCUCAGGCUCGAAAGCGCGGGGAGCA